rnacentral:rRNA from 1 species
GUAGGGAAUCUUCGGCAAUGGACGAAAGUCUGACCGAGCAACGCCGCGUGAGUGAAGAAGGUUUUCGGAUCGUAAAACUCUGUUGUUAGAGAAGAAUGUUGAUUAGAGUGGAAAAUUAAUCAAGUGACGGUAUCUAACCAGAAAGGGACGGCUAACUACGUGCCAGCAGCCGCGGUAAUACGUAGGUCCCGAGCGUUGUCCGGAUUUAUUGGGCGUAAAGCGAGCGCAGGUGGUUUAAUAAGUCUGAUGUAAAAGGCAGUGGCUCAACCAUUGUGUGCAUGUGAAACUGUUAGAAUUGAGUGCAGUAGAGGAGAGUGGAAUUCCAUGUGUAGCGGUGAAAUGCGUAGAUAUAUGGAGGAACACCGGUGGCGAAAGCGGCUCUCUGGACUGUCACUGACACUGAGGCUCGAAAGCGUGGGUAGCAAACAGGAUUAGAAACCCUGGUAGUCC